rnacentral:rRNA from 1 species
GACGUAGGGGGCUAGCGUUGUCCGGAUUUAUUGGGCGUAAAGAGCGUGUAGGCGGCCAGGUAGGUCCGGUGUGAAAACUCGAGGCUUAACCUCGAGAUGUCAUCGGAAACCAUCUGGCUAGAGUCCGGAAGAGGAAAGUGGAAUUCCUGGUGUAGCGGUGAAAUGCGCAGAUAUCAGGAAGAACACCAAUGGCGAAGGCGGCUCUCUGGGACGGUACUGACGCUGAGACGCGAAAGCGUGGGGAGCGAACAGG